rnacentral:rRNA from 1 species
CAGUCGCCGCGGUAAUACGGAGGGAGCUAGCGUUGUUCGGAAUUACUGGGCGUAAAGCGCGCGUAGGCGGUUACUCAAGUCAGAGGUGAAAGCCCGGGGCUCAACCCCGGAACUGCCUUUGAAACUAGGUGACUAGAAUCUUGGAGAGGUCAGUGGAAUUCCGAGUGUAGAGGUGAAAUUCGUAGAUAUUCGGAAGAACACCAGUGGCGAAGGCGACUGACUGGACAAGUAUUGACGCUGAGGUGCGAAAGCGUGGGGAGCAAACAGGAUUAGAUACCCGCGUAGUCCCUGUCUCUUAUAC